rnacentral:ncRNA from 2 species
CGCUAUAUCGUUGGAUCAGGUGUCGCAAGACGUAAUAGGGAAUCCGGAGAGAGCCGGAGCGGUCCCGCCACUGUAACAGCGAGCAACCCUGCAAUAAGGGAUCACGUUGCACGUGAUUCCUCAGUCACUGGGGCGAAUGCCUUGGGAAGGCGCAGGGAAACGAUGAACUGGAGCCAGGAGAACUGCCUGAUGGACAAUCGCCAU